rnacentral:rRNA from 1 species
UACGAAGGGUGCAAACGUUGCUCGGAAUUAUUGGGCGUAAAGCGCACGUAGGCGGCUUUGCAAGUCGGAUGUGAAAGCCCUCGGCUCAACCAAGGAAGUGCAUCCGAAACUGCAGAGCUUGAGUACUUAAGAGGAUCGCGGAAUUCCCGGUGUAGAGGUGAAAUUCGUAGAUAUCGGGAGGAACCCCAGUGGCGAAGGCGGCGAUCUGGGAAGAUACUGACGCUGAGGUGCGAAAGCGUGGGGAGCAAACAGG